rnacentral:rRNA from 1 species
GACGAACGCUGGCGGCGUGCCUAAUACAUGCAAGUCGAACGCUUCUUUCCUCCCGAGUGCUUGCACUCAAUUGGAAAGAGGAGUGGCGGACGGGUGAGUAACACGUGGGUAACCUACCCAUCAGAGGGGGAUAACACUUGGAAACAGGUGCUAAUACCGCAUAACAGUUUAUGCCGCAUGGCAUAAGAGUGAAAGGCGCUUUCGGGUGUCGCUGAUGGAUGGACCCGCGGUGCAUUAGCUAGUUGGUGAGGUAACGGCUCACCAAGGCCGCGAUGCAUAGCCGACCUGAGAGGGUGAUCGGCCACACUGGGACUGAGACACGGCCCAGACUCCUACGGGAGGCAGCAGUAGGGAAUCUUCGGCAAUGGACGAAAGUCUGACCGAGCAACGCCGCGUGAGUGAAGAAGGUUUUCGGAUCGUAAAACUCUGUUGUUAGGGAAGAACAAGGACGUUAGUAACUGAACGUCCCCUGACGGUAUCUAACCAGAAAGCCACGGCUAACUACGUG